UGUUUAAGAGGAGAUAGUGCCGCAUCGUUUAAGAAAAUCUCCAGAGUGGUUUAUGUUCAAAAAUCUGAAGUUACGGUUAAAAAACUGAAAAUUUUAUUGUGAAAUUGACAAAAUGAGAUAAGGGAGGUAGGGCACUAAAAGAAAAAUUUGGACCAUUUUAAAGAGAUUGUGACGGGCAACGACUAUAUAGGUGUUGUAGAGGAGACAUUGGCGCAUCGUUUAAGAAAAUCUCCAGAGUGGUUUAUGUUCGAAAAUCUGAAGUUACGGUUAAAAAACUGAAAUUGUGAAAUUGACAAAAUGAGAUUAGGAGGAUAGGCCAAUUUUAGUUAAUUUUGGACCAAUUUCAAGAGAUUGUGACGGGCAACGACUAUACAGGUGUUGUAGAGGAGACAAUGGUGCAUCGUUUAAGAAAAUCUCCAGAGUGGUUUAUGUUCGAAAAUCUGAAGUCACGGUUAAAAAACUGAAAUUGUGAAAUUGACAAAAUGAGAUUGGGGGUUAGGCCAAUUUAAGUUAAUUUUGGACCAAUUUCAAGAGAUUGUGACGGGCAACGACUAUAUAGGUGUUGUAGAGGAGACAUUGGCGCAUCGUUUAAGAAAAUCUCCAGAGUGGUUUAUGUUCGAAAAUCUGAAGCUACGGUUAAAAAACUGAAAUUGUGAAAUUGACAAAAUGAGAUUGGGGGUUAGGCCAAUUUAAGUUAAUUUUGGACCAAUUUCAAGAGAUUGUGACGGGCAACGACUAUAUAGGUGUUGUAGAGGAGACAUUGGCGCAUCGUUUAAGAAAAUCUCCAGAGUGGUUUAUGUUCGAAAAUCUGAAGUUACGGUUAAAAAACUGAAAUUGUGAAAUUGACAAAAUGAGAUUGGGGGUUAGGCCAAUUUAAGUUAAUUUUGGACCAAUUUCAAGAGAUUGUGACGGGCAACGACUAUAUAGGUGUUGUAGAGGAGACAUUGGCGCAUCGUUUAAGAAAAUCUCCAGAGUGGUUUAUGUUCGAAAAUCUGAAGUUACGGUUAAAAAACUGAAAUUGUGAAAUUGACAUAAUGAGAUUAGGGGGGUAGGGCAACUUAAGUUAAUUUUGUACCAAUUUAAAGAGAUUGUGACGGGCAACGACUAUAUAGGUGUUGUAGAGGAGACAUUGGCGCAUCGUUUAGGAAAAUCUGCAGAGUGGUUUAUGUUCGAAAAUCUGAAGUUACGGUUAAAAAACUGAAAUUGUGAAAUUGACAAAAUGAGAUUAGGGGGUAGGCCAAUUUACGUUAAUUUUGGACCAAUUUUAAGAGAUUGUGACGGGCAACAACUAUAUAGGUGUUGUAGAGGAGACAUUGGCGCAUCGUUUAGGAAAAUCUCCAGAGUGGUUUAUGUUCGAAAAUCUGUAGUUACGGUUAAAAAACUGAAAAUUUUAUUGUGAAAUUGACAAAAUGAGAUUAGGGGGGUAGGGCACUAAAAGAAAAAUUUGGAGCAUUUUAAAGAGAUUGUGACGGGCAACGACUAUAUAGGUGUUGUAGAGGAGACAUUAGCGCAUCGUUUAAGAAAAUCUCCAGAGUGGUUUAUGUUCGAAAAUCUGAAGUUACGGUUAAAAAACUGAAAAUUUUAUUGUGAAAUUGACAAAAUGAGAUUAGGGGGGUAGGGUACUAAAAGAAAUAUUUGGACCAUUUUAAAGAGAUUGUGACGGGCAACGACUAUAUAGGUGUUGUAGAGGAGACAUUGGCGCAUCGUUUAAGAAAAUCUCCAGAGUGGUUUAUGUUCGAAAAUCUGAAGUUACGGUUAAAAAACUGAAAUUGUGAAAUUGACAAAAUGAGAUUAGGGGAUAGGCCAAUUUAAGCUAAUUUUGGACCAAUUUCAAGAGAUUGUGACGAGCAACGACUAUAUAGGUGUUGUAGAGGAGACAUUGGCGCAUCGUUUAGGAAAAUCUCCAGAGUGGUUUAUGUUCGAAAAUCUGUAGUUACGGUUAAAAAACUGAAAUUGUGAAAUUGACAAAAACGGAAAAAUUGAUGAAAUUUUCGUUUCCGUUCUCUAACUUCAGUUUGCCUCAACCAAAUGUUAUGAAACUUAGACA